AUCCAGCUGACGAGUCCCAAAUAGAAUGAAAAUCCCGCCCUGGAU
rnacentral:hammerhead_ribozyme from 1 species